rnacentral:rRNA from 1 species
UACGGAGGAUGCAAGCGUUAUCCGGAAUGAUUGGGCGUAAAGCGUCCGCAGGUGGCUAUGUAAGUCUGCUGUUAAAGAGUGAGGCUCAACCUCAUAAAAGCAGUGGAAACUACACAGCUAGAGUGCGGUAGGGGCAGAGGGAAUUCCUGGUGUAGCGGUGAAAUGCGUAGAGAUCAGGAAGAACACCGGUGGCGAAAGCGCUCUGCUAGGCCGCAACUGACACUGAGGGACGAAAGCUAGGGGAGCGAAUGGG